CAGAGGCUACCCUGCUUUCUGGCCCCAUUUCACAGACAACAGCACGGAGUCACAGAGAGGUGGUAAACUUGCCUGAGGGCUCACAACUAGCAGGGGAGAGGAUCCGCAGUGACUCAGUCUGGCUCUUGAGUCUGGCUUGUAGUUGUUACACCACUGCCGCCUUCCUCCCUGUUCCCACAGGAAUGCUCUCGGCUACAUGGGCGAGGAUGCUCUCCCUGGCGAUGCCACAGCUCCGUUAUUCCUGACGCCUCCUGAAGAUCCUUUUCCCUGCCCUUGACCGCCUUCCUCCUGGUCACUUACAGCCUGUGACUCAGUCACUGCCCCCACAGUGGCUCACAGGCUAGGGUGCUUCUAAGGAAGAGGAAGCUCCAGAAUGGGUGUACCGUGAGCCACCACGUGGCUAUGUCCUGGAGAGUUUGUUAGAAGGGCAUAUUCCUGCUCCGCAUCUGUAUUAAACUCUUCCCAUGCCCCUAUAAACUAACAUUUGAGAACACCAUUUCUCUUGCUUUUGUUUUAUCACAGGGCAUCCCUGCAAUAUUGCCUUGGGCUGGGGAAGAAAUGAGUUCUCCCCGAAGAUUUCCAGAAGGAACGCCGUCCUGCUGACACCAAGAUUUGGGCCCAGCGAGAUCCAUCUUGGACUUCUGACCUCUAGAACUGUAAGAUAGUAAGUUUGUGCUGUUCCAAGCCACUGAGUUUUUGAUAACACCCGUCGCUGUCUUCGUACCGACCGCUGCCGCCGGUGCUCGGUUUCCUUUCUGGGUGAGCAAGUGACAUCGCUUAUUGCGGCUGGGUCACACCAGACAGAAGGCACGGGACCCCUGUCCCCUCCGUCAAGGGGCCAAACCAAGCCUGAACUGAAGAACUGGGAAGGAAACCUUGCGCCUGCCCUGCCAUGGCUCUUCAGGGGAAGGGUCCUGCUCGCCUGGUCAGUCUCUGGACUGCUUUCACUCUGAGGAAUCUGGAUCAUGGGAAAAAAAUCAACAAAAGCCAAAAAAACUAAAGAGACACAUAAAGUCUCUCAUGAAGAAUUAGUUAAAUUGGACAAGUGCAAUAUAAUUCUGUGCCUGAAACAAGUGUAUGUAUAAAACCAAUGAGAGCUUAAAAAAAAUGAGAGUAUGUAAAUU